GGCGAGAACCAUCUGCUACUCUACUUUCCUGGUACGCAGACGAACAARGAAGAAAGGGCAGAUUCAGAAGCUUGAUAGGAGAAGGGUUCCGUUUUACUGCUUGAUAUUGCUGCUCCUGGUGCCAACAUCUUGGCUGUGUACACAGGAAUCGUGUCAAUUUCCAGCUGGCCAGAUGAUGAUCGGUUUUCCAAAUUCGUAAUGAUGUCUGCUACAUCCAUGCAUGGAUAAAACUAAGCUCACUUUCUCUCUCGCUGAUCAUCUUCAAAUGUAUUCUUCAAAGCACCCAAAUGGAUAAGUGGGGUGGCUGCCUAUGUCAAAUCAAUGCACCCAACUUGGUCGCCGGCAGCCAUCAAAUCUGCCAUCAUGACAACCGCUACACCAAUGAGUUCUACUGUCAACCAAGAGGCCAAAUUUGCGUAUGGUGCUGGUCAGGUGAACCCACUGAAGGUUGUCUCACCUGGAUUGGUCUAUGACAUGGAUGAAAUGCAAUACAUUGAGUUCUUAUGCAAAGAAGGUUACAGCGGUACAACCCUAAGUAUGAUAAUUGACUCAAAUCCUAUCGACUCCUCCUCACUUCCAUGCAGCUAAUUGUGAAUGAAGCUAUUGAGCCGGUAACUGGCGUGUUCAGAAGGACAGUCACUAAUAUGGGGUUAGCAGGGUCCAUAUACAAUGCCACCAUAAAUGCAGCACCUGGUGUAGAGAUUACUGUCGAGCYCAUGAGUCUGUCAUUUUCUAGCAUUGGUGAGAAGMAGAGCUUCACUGUAUCGGUCAAGGCAAAACCCAAGAAUGAUCAGAGCUUCACUGUAUCGGUCAAGGAAAAACCCAAGAAGCAUAGCUUCACUGUAUCGGUCAACAUUUCCCCAGUUUGUGAUCCCGUGUUGGUUGGAGAUAGUUUGAAUUCUUUUCAAGUUUCGGAUAUUUCUUUAAAGAAAUAUGCAAAAUCAAUUAUGAUUAUUCUUUUUCA